rnacentral:rRNA from 1 species
GGUUAAGCGACUAAGCGUACACGGUGGAUGCCCUGGCAGUCAGAGGCGAUGAAGGACGUGCUAAUCUGCGAAAAGCGUCGGUAAGGUGAUAUGAACCGUUAUAACCGGCGAUGUCCGAAUGGGGAAACCCAGUGCAAUUCGUUGCACUAUCGUUAACUGAAUACAUAGGUUAACGAGGCGAACCGGGGGAACUGAAACAUCUAAGUACCCCGAGGAAAAGAAAUCAACCGAGAUUCCCCCAGUAGCGGCGAGCGAACGGGGAGCAGCCCAGAGUCUGAAUCAGCUUGUGUGUUAGUGGAACGGUCUGGAAAGUCCGACGGUACAGGGUGAUAGUCCCGUACACCAAAAUGCACAGGCUGUGAACUCGAAGAGUAGGGCGGGACACGUGGUAUCCUGUCUGAAUAUGGGGGGACCAUCCUCCAAGGCUAAAUACUCCUGACUGACCGAUAGUGAACCAGUACCGUGAGGGAAAGGCGAAAAGAACCCCGGCGAGGGGAGUGAAAAAGAACCUGAAACCGUGUACGUACAAGCAGUGGGAGCACCUUCGGGUGUGACUGCGUACCUUUUGUAUAAUGGGUCAGCGACUUAUAUUCUGUAGCAAGGUUAACCGUAUAGGGGAGCCGCAGGGAAACCGAGUCUUAACUGGGCGUUAAGUUGCAGGGUAUAGACCCGAAACCCGGUGAUCUAGCCAUGGGCAGGUUGAAGGUUGGGUAACACUAACUGGAGGACCGAACCGACUAAUGUUGAAAAAUUAGCGGAUGACUUGUGGCUGGGGGUGAAAGGCCAAUCAAACCGGGAGAUAGCUGGUUCUCCCCGAAAGCUAUUUAGGUAGCGCCUCGUGAACUCAUCUUCGGGGGUAGAGCACUGUUUCGGCUAGGGGGUCAUCCCGACUUACCAACCCGAUGCAAACUACGAAUACCGAAGAAUGUUAUCACGGGAGACACACGGCGGGUGCUAACGUCCGUCGUGAAGAGGGAAACAACCCAGACCGCCAGCUAAGGUCCCAAAGUCAUGGUUAAGUGGGAAACGAUGUGGGAAGGCACAGACAGCCAGGAUGUUGGCUUAGAAGCAGCCAUCAUUUAAAGAAAGCGUAAUAGCUCACUGGUCGAGUCGGCCUGCGCGGAAGAUGUAACGGGGCUAAACCAUGCACCGAAGCUGCGGCAGCGACACUAUGUGUUGUUGGGUAGGGGAGCGUUCUGUAAGCCUGCGAAGGUGACCUGUGAGGGUUGCUGGAGGUAUCAGAAGUGCGAAUGCUGACAUAAGUAACGAUAAAGCGGGUGAAAAGCCCGCUCGCCGGAAGACCAAGGGUUCCUGUCCAACGUUAAUCGGGGCAGGGUGAGUCGACCCCUAAGGCGAGGCCGAAAGGCGUAGUCGAUGGGAAACAGGUUAAUAUUCCUGUACUUGGUGUUACUGCGAAGGGGGACGGAGAAGGCUAUGUUAGCCGGGCGACGGUUGUCCCGGUUUAAGCAUGUAGGCUGGUUGUCCAGGCAAAUCCGGAUAAUCAAGGCUGAGGUGUGAUGACGAGGCACUACGGUGCUGAAGUAACAAAUGCCCUGCUUCCAGGAAAAGCCUCUAAGCAUCAGGUAACAUCAAAUCGUACCCCAAACCGACACAGGUGGUCAGGUAGAGAAUACCAAGGCGCUUGAGAGAACUCGGGUGAAGGAACUAGGCAAAAUGGUGCCGUAACUUCGGGAGAAGGCACGCUGGUGUGUAGGUGAAGCCCCUGCGGGUGGAGCUGAGACCAGUCGAAGAUACCAGCUGGCUGCAACUGUUUAUUAAAAACACAGCACUGUGCAAACACGAAAGUGGACGUAUACGGUGUGACGCCUGCCCGGUGCCGGAAGGUUAAUUGAUGGGGUUAUCCGUAAGGAGAAGCUCUUGAUCGAAGCCCCGGUAAACGGCGGCCGUAACUAUAACGGUCCUAAGGUAGCGAAAUUCCUUGUCGGGUAAGUUCCGACCUGCACGAAUGGCGUAAUGAUGGCCAGGCUGUCUCCACCCGAGACUCAGUGAAAUUGAACUCGCUGUGAAGAUGCAGUGUACCCGCGGCAAGACGGAAAGACCCCGUGAACCUUUACUAUAGCUUGACACUGAACAUUGAGCCUUGAUGUGUAGGAUAGGUGGGAGGCUUUGAAGCGUGGACGCCAGUCUGCGUGGAGCCAACCUUGAAAUACCACCCUUUAAUGUUUGAUGUUCUAACGUUGGCCCCUUACCGGGGUUGCGGACAGUGUCUGGUGGGUAGUUUGACUGGGGCGGUCUCCUCCCAAAGCGUAACGGAGGAGCACGAAGGUUAGCUAAUCCUGGUCGGACAUCAGGAGGUUAGUGCAAUGGCAUAAGCUAGCUUGACUGCGAGCGUGACGGCGCGAGCAGGUGCGAAAGCAGGUCAUAGUGAUCCGGUGGUUCUGAAUGGAAGGGCCAUCGCUCAACGGAUAAAAGGUACUCCGGGGAUAACAGGCUGAUACCGCCCAAGAGUUCAUAUCGACGGCGGUGUUUGGCACCUCGAUGUCGGCUCAUCACAUCCUGGGGCUGAAGUAGGUCCCAAGGGUAUGGCUGUUCGCCAUUUAAAGUGGUACGCGAGCUGGGUUUAGAACGUCGUGAGACAGUUCGGUCCCUAUCUGCCGUGGGCGCUGGAGAAUUGAGGGGGCUGCUCCUAGUACGAGAGGACCGGAGUGGACGCAUCACUGGUGUUCGGGUUGUCAUGCCAAUGGCACUGCCCGGUAGCUAAAUGCGGAAGAGAUAAGUGCUGAAAGCAUCUAAGCACGAAACUUGCCCCGAGAUGAGUUCUCCCUGAGACUUUAAGUCUCCUGAAGGAACGUUGAAGACGACGACGUUGAUAGGCCGGGUGUGUAAGCGCAGCGAUGCGUUGAGCUAACCGGUACUAAUGAACCGUGAGGCUUAACCUU